GAAUUUGCUUGAGAGCGGAGGUCAGUUUUUGUUUUUCACUUACAUCACACUUUUGAGAUGCUCUCCCUGUAAAAAUUUCACUGGAAUUAUAUUGAUCGUUCAACUACUCUACACUUCAGAUACUAUUUUAAAAAUCGAGGACUGGAAGAAACCAAUGAAAAUCAGUAAUAGGAGUAGAUUUUCAAUGGUAAUAUUAAAAAAUAACUGUGUGAGCUCUGGGGAUGUUAGUAUACUUUUAAUGCGGCAUGGUUUAAAGGCACAGAAUGCUAUUAUCCAAAAACAAAAUGCAUAAAUGAGUCAAUUAUCCAUGCAAAUUUGGCAACAAUGUGUUCAACAUAUUAUUUUAUUUUAAAAGGUUAAAUACACAGAAUAAUUUUAAAACAGAGAAAGUAAAGCCUGUUCAAUUAUAGCACUGUAUUUUAAACCCAGAGAUACAUGAACUCUGCAGAAACCUGAAGAACCAGGCUCAUGUGGAGACAAAGGGAACACUAAAUGGAGAAAAAACACGUUUUUUUUUUUUUUUUUGAGACGGAGUCUCGUUCUGUCGCCCAGGCUAGAGUGCAGUGGCGCAAUCUCCGCUCACUGCAACCUCUGCCUCCCGAGUUCAUGCCAUUCUCCUGCCUCAGCCUCCCAGAAAAAACACUUUCUAUCAUGAAUCAUACUUUCUUGUAUAAAAUCUGUACCGUACUCUAAACUCUGUGUUAGGAUCUAUGCCAACACACUAUUUAUUGCUUCUUCCUCCUCUUUCUCUCAGGACAUCUUUUUUUGUAGAUUGAAGGUGGGAAAUGCUAUGUGCUUAUAUCUGAGAAGAUGUCUCUCUCUGCUUUAGAAUCAUCAAUCUUUCCCACAGCCAGAGGCAGGAGAAUGGCGUGAACCUGGAAGGCAGAGCUUGCAGUGAGUGGAGAUUGCACCACUGCACUCCAGCCUGGGUGACAGAGCGAGACUCCAUCUCAAAAAACAAAA
rnacentral:lncRNA from 10 species